rnacentral:misc_RNA from 1 species
AAGUCAUAACAAGGUUUCCGUAGGUGAACCUGCGGAAGGAUCAUUAGUGAUUUGGCCGAGAGGCCUUAUAACAAAUCCUCACACCUGUGAACUCGUCGGUGGGCGCGAGCCCGCCGGACACCACAUACUAUGUGUAACGAACGUGAUGUAAACACAAACAAAACAAAACUUUCAACAACGGAUCUCUUGGCUCUC